ensembl:snRNA U6 U6 spliceosomal RNA
CUGCUUGCUUCAGCAGCAUGUAUACUAAAAUUGGGACCAUACAGAGAAGAUUCGCAUGGCCCUUGCACAAGGAUAAAUCACAAAUUCAUGAAGUGUUCCAUAUUUUU